AUAGGGUGGAGGCAGAAGUAGACACAAUUAAACAUGAAGGAUUGUGAAGGCAAAAGAUGAACCAGCCAGCUGUAGUCUCUGGAUGCAUAAGCUCCAAGUGUGGAGGAGACCCGGAGAGAAAAGCAGACUGUUCUCUCUGUUUACCUGUAAACACAGGCCGCAACCUACCAUGCUGUUUUUAAAUGCCCAAGGGCUGGUGACAAGAGGGUUUCCCUUUGCCAUCUGGACCUGACUGCCUUAGAGUGAAAGUCGACAUUGCAAACCACAGUGACAUGUGGAUAAAACUCACGAUGUUGGGGGAGAAGAGCAAAUCAUAUGCUUCACAAUAAAAACACUCAAUAUCCUAGGAAUAGAAGGGAACUUCCUCAACCAGAUAAAGGGUGUCUAUGAAAAACCCAGAGCUAACAUCACACUUAAUCGUGAAAGACUGAAAGCUUUCCCUCUAAAAUCAGAAACAAGAAAAGGAUGUCUACUACUGCCACUGCUAUUCAACAUUGUUCUGGAAAAUUCUGGGCACAACAAGUAGGCAAGAGAAAAGAAGAGGUAUCCAGAUUGGAAAGGAAGAAAUAAAACUGUCUCUGUUUGACAGUUGUCAUAAUCUUGUACAUAGAAGAUUAUGAAGAAGCUACCAAAAACUAUUUGAAUGACUAAACAAGUUUGGUAUGGUUGCAGGAUACAAGAUCAAUAAGCAAAAACCAGCCGUAGUUCUUCUAUAUGUUGAAAAGAAGAAAAUUUAUAAUGAAAUUAAGAAAAAUUCAUU
rnacentral:lncRNA from 1 species